AACGAACGCUGGCGGCAUGCCUAACACAUGCAAGUCGAACGAGACCUUCGGGUCUAGUGGCGCACGGGUGCGUAACGCGUGGGAAUCUACCCUUGGGUUCGGAAUAACUCAGAGAAAUUUGAGCUAAUACCGGAUGAUGUCGCAAGAUCAAAGAUUUAUCGCCCAAGGAUGAGCCCGCGUAGGAUUAGCUUGUUGGUGAGGUAAAAGCUCACCAAGGCGACGAUCCUUAGCUGGUCUGAGAGGAUGAUCAGCCACACUGGGACUGAGACACGGCCCAGACUCCUACGGGAGGCAGCAGUGGGGAAUAUUGGACAAUGGGCGAAAGCCUGAUCCAGCAAUGCCGCGUGAGUGAUGAAGGCUAGGUGUAAGCUCUUUACCGGGUACUGAUAAUGACAGUACC
rnacentral:rRNA from 1 species